GAUAAACGCUGGCGGCGUGCAUGAGACAUGCAAGUCAUACGGACGACUCGGUUCGCCGGGAAGUCAGUGGCGGACGGCUGAGUAACGCGUAGGCGACCUGCCCUGAAGUGGGGAAUAACUGCCCGAAAGGGUGGCUAAUACCGCAUGUGGUGGUGCGUUCGUUCGCACCAGUAAAGCCGCGAGGCGCUUCAGGAGGGGCCCGCGUCCGAUUAGCUCGUUGGUGGGGUAACGGCUCACCAAGGCGACGAUC
rnacentral:rRNA from 1 species